rnacentral:lncRNA from 1 species
UGAGUGGUAAGAGAUUGUUGUGUUGGAGGUCUUGUGUUCGAAUCUUUGCGGGAGCAAGGGUGUUAACUUUUGUUUCGAGUGGUUGUUAGAGGUUGGGUGGAACUAAGAUUUUGUGGUAGUUAAGUGUUAGUGGGUUAGUAGGGAGGAAUUUGGGGGAGUUGUUGAUUUUUUUUUUCUUUUCUCCAUCCUCUAAAUUUUUGACAUCAAUUUCUGCCAUUCCUCUUUAGAUCUGCCAUUUGGUCUUCUUGUCCAUCCUCUACGCUUGCUUUUCUAUUUCUUUCAUUUUCUUUCAAAUUGUUUUGUACUUUUU